UACGAAGGGUGCAAGCGUUACUCGGAAUUACUGGGCGUAAAGCGUGCGUAGGCGGUUUGUUAAGUCUGAUGUGAAAGCCCUGGGCUCAACCUGGGAACUGCGUCCGAUACUGGCAGGCUUGAAUCCGGGAGAGGGAUGUGGAAUUCCAGGUGUAGCGGUGAAAUGCGUAGAUAUCUGGAGGAACACCGGUGGCGAAGGCGGCAUCCUGGACCGGUAUUGACGCUGAGGCGCGAAAGCUAGGGGAGCAAACGGG
rnacentral:rRNA from 1 species